UGCGCAUGUUUUGUAUACAGCUUCCCAGGUUUCAAGAUGGCGGACAUGUAAACGAAAGGAACAUUGUUGCGUAUCUUGGUUUUCGUCGUGGAUCAAACAACAGUGUUAAAUGGGAUUCAGCCUUCUGACUUCACGGCUACCCAUGUAGUAAUUAUUCCUGAAACCAUGACGUCUUCCUUCGGCUAGUGAUGUACAACCGAUUUGCUCCUUCCAAUCUCCCGUCAGAUUUUCAGCAGAAAGGCAAUGAAAAACGAGGAGAUCCUGUGAUUUUCAGACCUACCCACACAAACGAGAAGGAUAAUAUGAAGCGGUUUCCUCCUCAACAACAGAUUGGAGAUUUUCAGUUGAAUAAUUUUGCGGAUUGAAACAUGGAUUCGCUUGCCUGGGAGCGGCCCUUUUCUAUAUAAAAAAAGAACUUCAUGGACUUCCGAAUUCUGUCUGAAAUUGUUGGCGUGAGACACGUUCUGGUUCUUCUGACAAAGCUGAUGUCGCACUUUAAGACAACCCUGUCAGUGACUUUCUCUUAGUCGUAUGGCUGUUGUGACGGUUCUGCCCCCACACAUGGAAUAUCGUGUACCGAAGUAGCGAGUCGGACUGGCUAGUGUGAAGGGCGAGUGUCUCAGUACCACGUGACCAUGACUGUGUCAGACAGAACAGAACAGGGAGUUCCGAGUGUGGCCAGGCAGGACACAGACGGAGCAUGAACCCUUUCCUGGCGGCCUCACCGGCUUCUCUUGCUGGAGGUAAAGCUGAGAGAUAUAAGUAGGCCAGGAUUAGAAUAUCUGUUUAUUUAGAUAUUACUAUGUAAAUGCAUAGUCUGAAGGUACUCCUGUGGCAUCAGAUUGGAACUUAUUACAUCAAUUUUUGCGCUCCGAAUGUACGCAGUGAUCUAGUAGCCUACUUCGUACAUAUUUUUUCCACACCGUUUGUACGUACAGGUAGAAAUUCCUAUUUUUUGGGGUGUUUGAUCGGUUUUUCUUGCACCACAAGACGCACGUGGGUUGUUUUUGAAACCUGGCACCACUGUUUCAGAUUUUGUGGUAUUUAUUCUGGUGAUGUUUUACGAGACAUUUGGUUGACAAAGGAGCAUGAGGGAAGACUUACUAAGUACACAUGGGAAAAGGAUAUUAUAGGCCUACCACUCUUUGGCUACACCAGAACAUAUGGCGUAAAGUGGAACUCCGCCAAUCAGGAUGAUGUACACCUUUUGGUGGUGGCAUACUGAAAAUGUAUAUCAUUGUGUCCACUCGUUUUUUUUUCUCUUACUCAUACUUUUGUGUGUGUUUGGUUUUGUUGGGGGUUUUUUUUUUUUUGUUGGUAUGAUUUGAUUUAUUCAGAGAUGUAUUUUCCUCUGACCUUAAAGUUUCAAGCUAAAUAGAUUUUCGCCUGAACAUUUUACAAACUUGGGAAUUCAAUAGCCCGCUCUUUGUUGGUAUGCUUCUUUGAUUUACUGGAAAACGCUGUCAAUAUUUAAGGGGGCGGGGGGUGCCACAAACUUAUCUCCACUCGAAGCUCCGACGACAGCUCAUUGGAUUGGAUCAUCGGCCAAAGAGCUCCAUUGACACCGGGAUCAGGCCGAACACAGACUUUGGUCACUGGACAAACACAACGCACAGCUCGGUGGGGUCGCCCGUUCAUGACGAGCACUGAUAGUGUUGAAUAUAAUCAGGGGAAUUGGGAAGGUGCUAUGGCCACGAACCUAAAGGACAAUGGGGGGAAAGGGGGCAGUAGCUUUGUGCUCUCUUCAUACUUCGAUUCUCUGCGGAUAUUCGAGUCUCAUAAAUUUUUCGUAAUGAUGUCCUGGUCUAUAUAAUGUCCUUUACGUAGACCAGCGUUUGUGGUGUAGCGGUUAGGCACCUCGCUGUUAUACGCAGGAGACUCGCUUUCGAUUCCCGAGAAUGAGGAAUUAUAUCGAGUGUCUCGAUCUUUCUGUAGGUUGUUGUACACCUCUCAACCUCUCUGACAGGCAGGGUCGGAGGCCCGCUUCUUCAAGGAUCCGAACUGUGUCGCUGGGGGUGUAAAAUGCCUCUCCUUUAUGCAGUAAAACCAGAGAAGGCAAGACUGCAAGAUUAUGCUUUACGUACUCUUAAGAAAUAUAGUUUUUCUACGGUGUCCUCCUAAUUGCUGCUAAGGAAUCGUUUGUCUGAAUAAAGAGUAAUGUUCAUUUGGUGUAGGGAAAAAGUCAGACAGGCAGGCAGGCAGACAGACAGACAGACAGACAGACAGACAG